UACGUAGGUGGCGAGCGUUGUCCGGAUUUACUGGGCGUAAAGAGCGCGCAGGCGGUCGUGCAAGUCGCGUGUGGAAGCCCCCGGCUCAACUGGGGAGGGUCACGCGAUACUGUUCGACUCGAAGGCAGGAGAGGGAAGUGGAAUUCCCGGUGUAGUGGUGAAAUGCGUAGAUUAUCGGGAGGAACACCAGUGGCGAAGGCGACUUCCUGGCCUGUUCUUGACGCUGAGGCGCGAAAGCUAGGGUAGCAAACGGG
rnacentral:rRNA from 1 species